rnacentral:rRNA from 1 species
GGUUAAGCGACUAAGCGUACACGGUGGAUGCCCUGGCAGUCAGAGGCGAUGAAGGACGUGCUAAUCUGCGAAAAGCGUCGGUAAGGUGAUAUGAACCGUUACAGCCGGCGAUGUCCGAAUGGGGAAACCCAGUGCAAUUCGUUGCACUAUCGUUAACUGAAUACAUAGGUUAACGAGGCGAACCGGGGGAACUGAAACAUCUAAGUACCCCGAGGAAAAGAAAUCAACCGAGAUUCCCCCAGUAGCGGCGAGCGAACGGGGAGCAGCCCAGAGUCUGAAUCAGCUUGUGUGUUAGUGGAACGGUCUGGAAAGUCCGACGGUACAGGGUGAUAGUCCCGUACACCAAAAUGCACAGGCUGUGAACUCGAAGAGUAGGGCGGGACACGUGGUAUCCUGUCUGAAUAUGGGGGGACCAUCCUCCAAGGCUAAAUACUCCUGACUGACCGAUAGUGAACCAGUACCGUGAGGGAAAGGCGAAAAGAACCCCGGCGAGGGGAGUGAAAAAGAACCUGAAACCGUGUACGUACAAGCAGUGGGAGCACCUUCGGGUGUGACUGCGUACCUUUUGUAUAAUGGGUCAGCGACUUAUAUUCUGUAGCAAGGUUAACCGUAUAGGGGAGCCGCAGGGAAACCGAGUCUUAACUGGGCGUUAAGUUGCAGGGUAUAGACCCGAAACCCGGUGAUCUAGCCAUGGGCAGGUUGAAGGUUGGGUAACACUAACUGGAGGACCGAACCGACUAAUGUUGAAAAAUUAGCGGAUGACUUGUGGCUGGGGGUGAAAGGCCAAUCAAACCGGGAGAUAGCUGGUUCUCCCCGAAAGCUAUUUAGGUAGCGCCUCGUGAAUUCAUCUUCGGGGGUAGAGCACUGUUUCGGCUAGGGGGUCAUCCCGACUUACCAACCCGAUGCAAACUACGAAUACCGAAGAAUGUUAUCACGGGAGACACACGGCGGGUGCUAACGUCCGUCGUGAAGAGGGAAACAACCCAGACCGCCAGCUAAGGUCCCAAAGUCAUGGUUAAGUGGGAAACGAUGUGGGAAGGCACAGACAGCCAGGAUGUUGGCUUAGAAGCAGCCAUCAUUUAAAGAAAGCGUAAUAGCUCACUGGUCGAGUCGGCCUGCGCGGAAGAUGUAACGGGGCUAAACCAUGCACCGAAGCUGCGGCAGCGACACUAUGUGUUGUUGGGUAGGGGAGCGUUCUGUAAGCCUGCGAAGGUGACCUGUGAGGGUUGCUGGAGGUAUCAGAAGUGCGAAUGCUGACAUAAGUAACGAUAAAGCGGGUGAAAAGCCCGCUCGCCGGAAGACCAAGGGUUCCUGUCCAACGUUAAUCGGGGCAGGGUGAGUCGACCCCUAAGGCGAGGCCGAAAGGCGUAGUCGAUGGGAAACAGGUUAAUAUUCCUGUACUUGGUGUUACUGCGAAGGGGGGACGGAGAAGGCUAUGUUAGCCGGGCGACGGUUGUCCCGGUUUAAGCAUGUAGGCUGGUUGUCCAGGCAAAUCCGGAUAAUCAAGGCUGAGGUGUGAUGACGAGGCACUACGGUGCUGAAGUAACAAAUGCCCUGCUUCCAGGAAAAGCCUCUAAGCAUCAGGUAACAUUAAAUCGUACCCCAAACCGACACAGGUGGUCAGGUAGAGAAUACCAAGGCGCUUGAGAGAACUCGGGUGAAGGAACUAGGCAAAAUGGUGCCGUAACUUCGGGAGAAGGCACGCUGGUGUGUAGGUGAAGUCCCUGCGGAUGGAGCUGAGACCAGUCGAAGAUACCAGCUGGCUGCAACUGUUUAUUAAAAACACAGCACUGUGCAAACACGAAAGUGGACGUAUACGGUGUGACGCCUGCCCGGUGCCGGAAGGUUAAUUGAUGGGGUUAUCCGUAAGGAGAAGCUCUUGAUCGAAGCCCCGGUAAACGGCGGCCGUAACUAUAACGGUCCUAAGGUAGCGAAAUUCCUUGUCGGGUAAGUUCCGACCUGCACGAAUGGCGUAAUGAUGGCCAGGCUGUCUCCACCCGAGACUCAGUGAAAUUGAACUCGCUGUGAAGAUGCAGUGUACCCGCGGCAAGACGGAAAGACCCCGUGAACCUUUACUAUAGCUUGACACUGAACAUUGAGCCUUGAUGUGUAGGAUAGGUGGGAGGCUUUGAAGCGUGGACGCCAGUCUGCGUGGAGCCAACCUUGAAAUACCACCCUUUAAUGUUUGAUGUUCUAACGUUGGCCCCUUACCGGGGUUGCGGACAGUGUCUGGUGGGUAGUUUGACUGGGGCGGUCUCCUCCCAAAGCGUAACGGAGGAGCACGAAGGUUAGCUAAUCCUGGUCGGACAUCAGGAGGUUAGUGCAAUGGCAUAAGCUAGCUUGACUGCGAGCGUGACGGCGCGAGCAGGUGCGAAAGCAGGUCAUAGUGAUCCGGUGGUUCUGAAUGGAAGGGCCAUCGCUCAACGGAUAAAAGGUACUCCGGGGAUAACAGGCUGAUACCGCCCAAGAGUUCAUAUCGACGGCGGUGUUUGGCACCUCGAUGUCGGCUCAUCACAUCCUGGGGCUGAAGUAGGUCCCAAGGGUAUGGCUGUUCGCCAUUUAAAGUGGUACGCGAGCUGGGUUUAGAACGUCGUGAGACAGUUCGGUCCCUAUCUGCCGUGGGCGCUGGAGAAUUGAGGGGGGCUGCUCCUAGUACGAGAGGACCGGAGUGGACGCAUCACUGGUGUUCGGGUUGUCAUGCCAAUGGCACUGCCCGGUAGCUAAAUGCGGAAGAGAUAAGUGCUGAAAGCAUCUAAGCACGAAACUUGCCCCGAGAUGAGUUCUCCCUGAGACUUUAAGUCUCCUGAAGGAACGUUAAAGACGAUGACGUUGAUAGGCCGGGUGUGUAAGCGCAGCGAUGCGUUGAGCUAACCGGUACUAAUGAACCGUGAGGCUUAACCUU